AGCAGCCGCCGCGGUAAUACGUAGGGUGCAAGCGUUAAUCGGAAUUACUGGGCGUAAAGCGUGCGCAGGCGGUUUGUUAAGACAGAUGUGAAAUCCCCGGGCUCAACCUGGGAACUGCAUUUGUGACUGGCAAGCUAGAGUAUGGCAGAGGGGGGUGGAAUUCCGCGUGUAGCAGUGAAAUGCGUAGAUAUGCGGAGGAACACCGAUGGCGAAGGCAGCCCCCUGGGCCAAUACUGACGCUCAUGCACGAAAGCUAGGGGAGCAAACAGGAUUAGAUACCCCAGUAGUCCCUGUCUCUUAUAC
rnacentral:rRNA from 1 species